ensembl:snoRNA
AUGUUAGCUUCCUAAGUGAUGACUGGAUUUUCAUGCUCAUGUGUGAGAUGUCCCUCUCUCAAACCUUGUUAUGAUGUUGGCAUAUUACCUAUCUGGUA